rnacentral:ribozyme from 13 species
UCUUUAUUUCUUGUCUUUCUUUUUUCUUGUCUUUUUUUUUUCUUUCUUUUUGGUGAAUUACUUCUUCCUCUUCAAACAUGUCAGAAAGAAGAGUUG